rnacentral:rRNA from 1 species
GACAGAGGAUGCAAGCGUUAUCCGGAAUGAUUGGGCGUAAAGCGUCUGUAGGUGGCUUUUCAAGUCCGCCGUCAAAUCCCAGGGCUCAACCCUGGACAGGCGGUGGAAACUGCCAAGCUGGAGUACGGUAGGGGCAGAGGGAAUUUCCGGUGGAGCGGUGAAAUGCGUAGAGAUCGGGAAGAACACCAACGGCGAAGGCACUCUGCUGGGCCGACACUGACACUGAGAGACGAAAGCUAGGGGAGCGAAUGGG